AUCAAAUAUGGCCUGCUGCCUGAUUUGCCUGAAAGGUUAAGAACCACUGGUCUACAGGGUAUUUCAAAAUUGAGAAAAAAAGAGGACAUUUUAGAACGUCCGAUCAAAGGUCCACUGUGUAGGAUUUGGUGGCAUCUAGCAGUGUAGUUGAAGAGCGCAACUCCUUUGCCUUCACCCUCCCAUUCCAAGCACGAAGGAGAAACUACUGUGGCCAUGAAACGCACAAGUGAUCCUGUGCAGUGUUUGCUUUGUCCCGUCUGGACUACUGUUUAAAACAUGGCGGUCCCACAUGAUUGACUCCACAGAAGGCAACCACCAGCAUCUUUAAGAUGUUACAUUUAAGUUGGAAUUCAUUCUUGAAGAUUAUGUUUAAUGGCUUUUUACUUAUAUUGCACAAGUCAGAAGAAGUCAUUAUCUGUUGAUCCUGAAAUAAUUUAUUAGAAUAAAUGGUCAUGAUAUUAAGCCCUAACAUGAAUUAUUUACAUAUAGUUGCCAGCAUACUUAGUCUAAGAUUCUGAACAAUAGAACUUUAAUAAAGGCAGGAUUUUUGUAUUAGUUCUGACUAAACUAAGUUUAAAAUGAAACUAAAUUCUAGUGAUACUGCCUAAUGCCACUGGGGUUCUACAAUGAUUCAAAACCAAAAUCCAGUCUAAAAAAAACACUGACUAAACACUAUAGCUGACAACAACUUGAGUUAAUUUUCCAAAUUAAACACAGUUCCUGUUUUUCACCCUACCUGGACUCCCUCCAAAGCCCCACCCUGAUCAACUCAGUACAGCUCACAUCCCACUGCCGGCUAACAGAGGAUUUACCCAAGUUGCCCAAGCAUUAUCUAAACACAGACUGCUUCUGUCACAGGGGUUUAACGACUGUGAAACUUCAGUGGGCCAUGUUAUGCAACCUGCUGCCUAUGUUGAGCUGACUGAGAUAACAUGCGGGGCUGCCUGCGACUACCUGGGUAGUCAAGAAAAGAAGCAGGGUGGCGGGAUGAACUUCUGACCUCCACGUUAAUGAGAAUGGGCAGAAAAUGUAAUAUCAGCUGGAUCAGUAACAUGGAUUCAAUUAAAGGGAUCAACAUGGACAUGGAAAAACCAUCAAAGACCCUGGCCAUCUUAUGCUGCAAAACCGAAAGCACACUGCAGCCAAACCGAGCUCUCUCCACCCUUCCCGCCUCAACUCGACUGCAUGUGGCAUGCCAGUUGCUGAACUGCACAGUUUGCUAAACGAAGCGAGGUGGUGGUUUGGGAGGCACAAAGGCUCCUUUGUUCUGCUGGGCAAGACUAGAAGAUUUUUUAAGCAAAACCGACUUCUGGUGGUUGUAGUUUUCAGGAAACAAGCGAGGUUAGGCUUGCUCUGCUGGGACAAAAUGGUGGGGAUGACACGCUCCUACAGUACCUGCAUUCCUCUGCUCCAUGUAGGUGAGGAAUCCAGGUACAUUGAGCAUGUGCUGCACACAGGGUCCACAUUCCUGGCGUGUUCUUGAGCCUUAACUGACAAAGAGAAAAGACGAGCACUUGUUUUUCCUGCUGCCAUUUUGCGGCUAUGAUAAGGUCAACACUGCCAUGGUAAAAAUACAACAACAAAAAAAGAUGAGAUGACUGAAGCAGAUAAAUAAAACAUGCUUUUAUCCCCACUAAA